AGUGAACGCUGGCGGUAGGCCUAACACAUGCAAGUCGAACGGCAGCACAGUAAGAGCUUGCUCUUACGGGUGGCGAGUGGCGGACGGGUGAGGAAUACAUCGGAAUCUACUUUUUCGGGGGGGAUAACGUAGGGAAACUUACGCUAAUACCGCAUACGACCUACGGGUGAAAGCAGGGGAUCUUCGGACCUUGCGCGAUUGAAUGAGCCGAUGUCGGAUUAGCUAGUUGGCGGGGUAAAGGCCCACCAAGGCGACGAUCCGUAGCUGGUCUGAGAGGAUGAUCAGCCACACUGGAACUGAGACACGGUCCAGACUCCUACGGGAGGCAGCAGUGGGGAAUAUUGGACAGUGGGCGCAAGCCUGAUCCAGCCAUACCGCGUGGGUGAAGAAGGCCUUCGGGUUGUAAAGCCCUUUUGUUGGGAGAGAAAAGCAGCAGGUUAAUACCCCGCUGUUCUGACGGUACCCAAAGAAUAAGCACCGGCUAACUUCGU
rnacentral:rRNA from 1 species